UUCGUCUGUCCCAAGAGGAAAUGAAGCAGCCACCACCUGGAGCACACAACUUCCCUCAAGUAAUGCUCUCUUGUCUAGGAAGCAGGUGUCCUGUGCUGCAGAGAGAAAUUGACAACCUUAAAGAUCAACUUGUGGUCUUGCAGCGCUUCACUGAGAAGUUCCAGACCCUUUGAAAUGAGUGGGACAUGUUCUCUCCUCGCCCAGUCUCUGUGUGAGUGGGCUGAGGGCUCCACCCUGACUCUGCUCCCUGUCACAGGCUGAACACAGCAUCCCCUACAUGGAAGCAGCUGGUGCUUCUUGAAUCCAGAAGCUCCACACUGGGUCCCUUGUUCUCCUUGCCCACUUCUCAUCAGAAGGCCCUGCCUUGCUGCCCUACCAGGGUGUCCCUCUUUCCUGAGGGUUAGCACAGCCUUUGCCCCUCA